UACGUAGGUGGCAAGCGUUGUUCGGAAUCAUUGGGUGUAAAGCGUGCGCAGGCGGCCUAUUAAGUCUGAUGUGAAAUCCCGAGGCUCAACCUCGGAGGUGCAUUGGAAACUGGUAGGCUUGAGUCCGAGAGAGGUUAGUGGAAUUCGUGGUGUGGGGGUGAAAUCCGUAGAUAUCACGAGGAACACCAGUGGCGAAGGCGACUGACUGGAUCGGAACUGACGCUGAGGCACGAAAGAGUGGGGAGCAAACAGG
rnacentral:misc_RNA from 1 species